GCCUUUCCUCACAUGACACAUGCUCCAGUCCCUUAAUCAUUUUAGCGGCCCUGGGGUCUUAGGUAUUAGGUUUUGGCUGCCCCAAUACAACAACAGCAUUGACAUAUUAAAGCAGGUCCAGUGGAGGGCCACAGAUGAUCAUGAGGCUGAAGCAUGUCCGUGUAUGAGGAGUGACUAAAAGGAAGAGAUAUUUUUAGCCAUAAGACAGCUUUGCUGCCUUCAGCUACCUAAUGGGAGGCACUGUGAUGACAACUCCAUCCUCAGAGAGUUGACAGAGCCCUGAGCAACCAGAUCUAGUUGGGAGGCUGGACUAAAUGACACUGAGUAACCUGACUUCUAACCUAAGUCAACCACAACAAACUGGAAUUUAGCAUGACUCAUGGAGUAAUGAUGUAUACCACAACUUCCAAUGGCAUUGUUAGUUAUUAUGAUUAUUACCAAGGAAGUGGUGACAUGGCCAAUAAAUCAAGUUCCUGGUCAAGGCAAAUGAUUGCAGACAAUACAUUUGGAGCCUCCACACCUCUCCAACUUUUAGUUUCCCCAAAGAACAGAAAGGACAUAAAGACA